rnacentral:rRNA from 1 species
GACGAACGCUGGCGGCGUGCUUAACACAUGCAAGUCGAACGGAAAGGCCCUGCUUGCAGGGUACUCGAGUGGCGAACGGGUGAGUAACACGUGGGUGAUCUGCCCUGCACUUCGGGAUAAGCCUGGGAAACUGGGUCUAAUACCGGAUAGGAGCCAUUUUUAGUGUGAUGGUUGGAAAGUUUUUUCGGUGUAGGAUGAGCUCGCGGCCUAUCAGCUUGUUGGUGGGGUAAUGGCCUACAAAGGCGGCGACGGGUAGCCGGCCUGAGAGGGUGGACGGCCACAUUGGGACUGAGAUACGGCCCAGACUCCUACGGGAGGCAGCAGUGGGGAAUAUUGCACAAUGGGCGCAAGCCUGAUGCAGCGACGCCGCGGGGGGGAUGACGGCCUUCGGGUUGUAAACCCCUUUCGCUAGGGACGAAGCUUUUUGUGACGGUACCUAGAGAAGAAGCACCGGCUAACUACGUG